AUAAUAGAUUUCAAUAAAUAAAAUAAUAUGCCUCCUAGAUUUACAAGAAAAUUAGCGGAUGAAAGGAAUUAGGUGUCUAAGUUUUCAAAAAUUGUUUCCGGAAAGGUUUCUAUUUUAAAAGACAAUCUAAUCAUUGAUGUUGGGACAUAUAUAUAUAUAAAGAAAUAAAAGAACAUAGAACAAAAGAAAGAACAAAUAAAGGAAAUAAAAGAUCCAAUUAUUGCUCACAGUGUACAUAAUGGAAAGACCCCAAAUUUUAUAUCCACUAUAGAUGCCAGAGGUGAAAAAAAACUUUAAAAUAUUUUGUACAAUUAACCAUUCACAUAGUAACCUCAAGAAGGUUCAUGAGUAAGAUGUAUUUGCCAUUUGUAAAGUCAAUGAGAAAAAUAUGAAAAUGGUAAAAGAAGUUAUUAAAGUGAUCAGCACAUUACUUCAGUUUAAGAAGCAUGCUACACCAAAUUUUUUUGAACUGAAGUUAUACUUCUAAAAUCAUUACCAUCCAUGUAAAAAUCUUUAAACGUUGAGCAAGAAACUGUUGUAGAAACUUGGCUAAGUGAUGGCAUAAUGAAUGCUUGGCUGGAUACUAUUAUUUCAGGUUACUAUGGAUACUAUCGGUUCAGACUAAAAAUCACAAAUACUCUUACCACUGCACAUGUUUAAUGAUAACUUUAUUUCUGCAAUUUUAAGUGAAAAAAGUGGGAUAUAAUAGAUAUGGAGCUAAGGCCGCAUCAAAAAUCUCUACCAUUAUCAGAAAGGUUUGCAAAAUAUUUUUAUCCUGUUAUUUUAGUACCAGUUGUCCUGCAAGCACUGGCUCCAUAGAAAGAGUGUUUUCCACAUUAAGUAUUGUGAAUUGUAUAGUAAACUAAGAAAUAAGUUAAGAAAGUAUAGACCUGAAAAGCAUGUACGAGUUUUGAAAAGAAAAGAAUUGCUAAACAACAAUCUUUUGUACUUUGAAAUUUAUUGCAAUAUAGUUUGUAAACU